rnacentral:rRNA from 1 species
GACGAACGCUGGCGGCGUGCUUAACACAUGCAAGUCGUACGGAAAGGCCCUGCUUUUGUGGGGUGCUCGAGUGGCGAACGGGUGAGUAACACGUGAGUAACCUGCCCUUGACUUUGGGAUAACUUCAGGAAACUGGGGCUAAUACCGGAUAGGAGCUCCUGCUGCAUGGUGGGGGUUGGAAAGUUUCGGCGGUUGGGGAUGGACUCGCGGCUUAUCAGCUUGUUGGUGGGGUAGUGGCUUACCAAGGCUUUGACGGGUAGCCGGCCUGAGAGGGUGACCGGCCACAUUGGGACUGAGAUACGGCCCAGACUCCUACGUGAGGCAGCAGUGGGGAAUAUUGCACAAUGGGCGGAAGCCUGAUGCAGCAACGCCGCGUGCGGGAUGACGGCCUUCGGGUUGUAAACCGCUUUCGCCUGUGACGAAGCGUGAGUGACGGUAAUGGGUAAAGAAGCACCGGCUAACUACGUG